rnacentral:rRNA from 1 species
AAUCAACGCUGGCGGCGUGCCUAACACAUGCAAGUCGAACGCGAAAGUGGAGCAAUCCAUGAGUAGAGUGGCAAACGGGUGAGUAACGCGUGGGUGACCUGCCUUCGAGCGGGGGAUAACGUUCCGAAAGGGACGCUAAUACCGCAUGACAUCCUGCCUUUGAAGAGGCGGAGAUCAAAGCUGGGGAUCGCAAGACCUAGCACUCGAUGAGGGGCCCGCGUCUGAUUAGCUAGUUGGUGGGGUAACGGCUCACCAAGGCAACGAUCAGUAUCCGGCCUGAGAGGGCGGACGGACACACUGGGACUGAGACACGGCCCAGACUCCUACGGGAGGCAGCAGUGGGGAAUUGUUCGCAAUGGGCGCAAGCCUGACGACGCAACGCCGCGUGGAGGAUGAAGAUCUUCGGGUCGUAAACUCCUUUCGAUCGAGACGAACGGCCUCCGGGUAAACAAUCCGGAGGAGUGACGGUACCGAGAGAAGAAGCCCCGGCUAACUCCGUGCCAGCAGCCGCGGUAAUACGGGGGGGGCAAGCGUUGUUCGGAAUUACUGGGCGUAAAGGGCUCGUAAGCGGCCAACUAAGUCAGACGUGAAAUCCCUCGGCUUAACCGGGGA